rnacentral:ncRNA from 1 species
GCACUGAAGCGGGGGUACCGCGGCGGCUUGCGCCGGCGGUUGAGACAGUCCCUUCGAACCUGAUGCGGUUGACACCGCCGUAGGGAAGCUUCGCAAGACCCGGC